rnacentral:rRNA from 1 species
GAUGAACGCUGGCGGCGUGCCUAACACAUGCAAGUCGAGCGGCAGCGAGGGGUUCUUGCACCCUGUCGGCGAGCGGCGGACGGCUGAGUAACGCGUGGGAACGUACCCCAAAGUGAGGAAUAACAGCCCGAAAGGGUAGCUAAUACCGCCUAUUAUCUUCGGAUCAAAGGAAUUAUCCGCCUUGGGAGCGGCUCGCGUCGGCUUAGGUAGUUGGUGAGGUAAUGGAGCACCAAGCCGACGACCCGUAGCUGGUCUGAGAGGAUGGCCAGCCAGACUGGGACUGGGACACGGUCCACACUCCUACGGUGGGCAGCAGUGACGAAUGUUCCACAAUCCGCGAACGCCUGAUGGGCCAACGCCGCGUGCAGGACGAAGAACAUAGGGGUGUACACUGCUCUCAUGCCAGACCAAGAUCAUGGUAAGGACUGAAUAAGGACCGGCUAACCAUCU